rnacentral:rRNA from 1 species
UACGGGGGGGGCAAGCGUUGUUCGGAAUUACUGGGCGUAAAGGGCGCGUAGGCGGCCAACUAAGUCAGAUGUGAAAUCCCUCGGCUUAACCGGGGAACUGCGUCUGAUACUGGAUGGCUAGAGAUUGGAAGAGGGAUGCGGAAUUCCAGGUGUAGCGGUGAAAUGCGUAGAUAUCUGGAGGAACACCGGUGGCGAAGGCGGCAUCCUGGAACAGCACUGACGCUGAGGAGCGAAAGCCAGGGGAGCAAACGGG